AGGUAGAUAAGCUAAUUAAGCUAAUGGGUUCAUACCCCAUUGAUGGUAAUCUUAAUUAGAUGG
rnacentral:tRNA from 1 species